GUGCUGUGAAUUGCUGAUGAUUUUAACUUACAAGGAGAGGUCCCCAAGUGGAAUCCACCGAUUUUGAUGAGGCUUGGUAGGGUUGUAGAGUGUGUCUUCCUGAAUAUAGUGAUGCCCCAUUUUGCCGGCGGACGGUCAACCGUUUUCGAGGUGUUGCGGGUCAAAGUUUUGGGCGGGUGUUUGACUACAGUUUGGAGUCGCCAUAUGAAACGAGCUGUCGUGGUGUUGUGGAUACGAGCUUUGAUGUGGUGGUUUGGCGUGGGUUCGGAUCCUGCUCCCGACAAAAUUUCUUUUUCCUUUCAUUUUUUUUAUUUGGUUAUAGGAAAUUUUAUUAUAAAGAAAAUAACUGAA
rnacentral:lncRNA from 1 species